GCGCAAGUGGCGGAAUUGGUAUACGCGCUAGAUUCAGAUUCUAGUGUUCUUAAGGACUUCCGGGUUCAAGUCCCGGUUUGCGCA
rfam:Cyanobacterium stanieri PCC 7202, complete genome.